UGAAGGUCUUAGGUUGCAUUGCAAUUCUAAGAAAGUUUUAGCAAUGCCAAGGUUGAGUCCUCAGGCCAAAGUUACUGGUCAGAGAAUUCCUGUGUCAUGCAGGAACAUACAUACCUUUAUCUCUCUGCCACCCCUAGUUACUGCCUUGAGUAGGCCAUGGGACAUAUAGUCUUGGUAUGAAUGAGGAGGAAAGGAUUUCAUAACAGCACCUUGGACCAUAGGCAAUUAUGUUCUUCACAGGAGAUUUGAAAGAUUCAUAUUCACUGUCACCACACCUCUCUAAACUUCUUGAUUUUGUGGUCUCCAGCCGGCUGCUACCCCAUUUAUCUGUCCUCCAUUCUAAUAAAACUCUUCAAAAGAGUUGAUUAUAUUCACUGCUUCUAUCCUUUUAUGUUAUAUUCCCUCCUUAACUAAAUCCAACCAGGAUUUGUCUUUCUUCAAUAACUGUUUUCUCUCAUAGAAACAGACCAUUUGGUUGAACAUAUGGCCACCCAGGUAAAGUGUAUAUUUCCCAAACUUCUUUGAAGUAGGUGUGGCCACAGGACCAAAUCCUGGCCAGAGGAAUAUGAGCAAAAGUGAUGAGUGAUACUUCUCAGCCAUGCCCUCUUCUAUCCCUGUCUCCCUUCCUGUUGGCUGGAAUGGGAAUGUAGUAAUGAGCCAUCUUGGAUCCUGCACUUAGUGUUUGUAAACCUUAAGGAUAGUGGAAGAGCAAGAAACAAGGAGACCGUACCCCUGAUGAUUUCACAGAGCUGCAAUGCCAUAACCAGGACUUUAUGUGAAAAAGAGAUAGGCUUUUAUCUUAUUUGAGCUCAUUUUAUUUUGGAUCUCUGACUUUGGUUUCCUACUUUAUAUAUCCAUCCACUCCACAGGCAAGUUCUACUGACAGCAUCUCUGAAAUAUAUCUUGAAUUUGGCUGUUUUGUUGCACCACUUUGGUCCAACCUACCAUCAUUUUUCCCUGACUGCUUAAACAGCCUCACACUCAUCUUGUUCUUCUAUUCUUUACCUAGAGGGCUUGUUGUUAUUUUUCACAAUGAAAAUGAUUUUAAAAAAAGUUAUAUCACCUCCUACUUAAAAUCCUCCAGUGACAUUUGGCAAUGCUGUCUAUCAAAAUACCACCAGCAACACACCUAAAGUGCUUGUAACUGUAUGCUGUAGGGAGCCAUAGGUGUUACAAGGGACUCUAUUAUAGGAUUUGGGCUUGUGUUGGUGAUUUUGGGUAGUGUUGAAGGAAGCAGGGUUAAUUCUAUUAUUAGAUGUAUUAAUAAAUCUCACCUAGAAGGAUGAAGAUUAGAAUAAGGCUAAAGCUGAAAUUGAUUAAAAAAAAAAAAAGCAUUAGCCACUCAUAUUAGCCAUGAUAGGGACAUGUUUGGUCAUUUUCUGGUUUAUACAAUGUUCAUAUUUUUUCUGUGUUUAGUCAUGAUUACAGAGUAGUUUUGUUUUUUUUAUCCAUCAUGGCCAUAGAUCAUCUGAUGUUAAUUUUUUGAGAAAUUGUUGAUCUUCAGUGGGAACAACACCAUAGACUGAGUGCCAGGCCAGCUCCUGAUGGUACAGGGCUGCUUGCUUGUCUCUUUCUCCCUUCCCAGUGUUAGAUUAAACUUCAAACUUUUUACCAUGGCCUUCAAGGCCCUCCAUGAUCUGGUUCCUACCUAAUUUCCAAACUCAUUUCCUACCACACAGUCACUGCAUUCCCUUAACACUGCCCCCCACCUUUUUUUUUUUUUUUUUUUUGGUUUUUUGAAUGCUCCAAGUUUGUUCUCCCUUUAGGACUUUUAUAUUUGCAGUUAAUUCUCCCUAGAAUAUUCUUUUCCCAAAUAUCACUUCUUAAAUAUUACUUCAUCAUGGAGUUCUUCCCUGACUCUUCCCUUUUCCAGACCCACAAGACAUUUUUUGUAUCAUUUCUAUGUUUUAUUUUCUUUAUUAAACCUUAUGGUGUACUUGUUGGUUUUCUGCCGUCCCUGCUAGGCUAUGAGAUCUGUAAGAGCAGGAAUUUUGUCUGUGUUGUUCACCAAGGUGUAUCCUCAGUGCCUAUCAUAGUACUUCACAUAAGGGACUGUCAAUAGAUUUUUGUGGAGUAAAGGAACUCUCAACCUCUAGGGAUGGGUGGAGGGCAAGUAGGUCAACAAUUACAACAUGGUGUGCAAGUGUACACUGGACUUCUUGGGGAUGAGUCACACCCAAAUUGUUGGAGACUUAUUGCCAGAACACAAGAGUUUAUGAGGAAUCUCUUGUCUCCUGUUAAGCCAUAUACCUGAUCUGGUUUUGAUUUCUGCAAGAUUGACAUUGUUCAAGAGAUACUCUUGGCUCUAGCGAUUUGCUUUCCUUAGGAACACCUACAUUUAUACUUAAGAAAUGAGAGAACCUGAUUGUAUUGGUUUGCUAUCACCUCAUUUCCAGCACACCUACCAAGAGUCAUAACUCAAAUGUCUAUAGGGACUAAGCAGGCACCUUAAGUGAGUGAAGUAAACUGGGUUAUGGCAACUUAAGGACUCUUUGGACAUAGACCUCCAUCUAGAACUGUUCUUCACAUCUCAAAACCUAUACCCCUUCUCCCAUGUUUCCUGAAACCUAUCCUCUCAGUCUCUCUUGUUUUCCCACUUCUGAUAGAAUAUGAGCUCAAAUAGUUUAUCAUUUUUGUCUUUAUUAAGAAAAUCAAUAAUGUAAAUCUAAUGACAAAUGGUGGUGGAGACCUGGCCUCGGUACUGGAUGGGGAAAAGAGGGUGCUGAGAACCACGGUUGGUAAGACAAUGUGCUCUGGGGACUUUGCUCUGGAUGAUUUUGGCUUUGUGGAAGUGCAAACCCAAGUUGCUAGAUUUUCAUAUUUAUUCCGAGAAAAACUCAAAAUCUAGAAGUUUAGGUGAAAUCCCUUGAUUGUUAGUUCUUGGUAAUAUUUAAUUUUCAUUAAACACUGAGAACCAAAUGAGCUUAUUCAACAAAUAGGCCACCCUCCAGAUUUGGCACUUGGGCUGUUGGCACUGGAACUCUUGAAAGUAGUUGUCUCUAGAUGAGCAACCAGUCGGUCCUUGGCAGCUUUGCCCAGAGCUUCUGGACAGAAUAGGCAGCUAAGGAGUAAGGAUAGCAGUGAGCAUGGGCUGCUGUGGGUGCCCAGGAGGGUUGUCUGGCUGUGGCUGGAGGAGGAGCUGGGAGGUGGGGAGGGUGUUACUGAGGAAGUCUUCUCAUAACAGGUUAGCCUAGAGACGAAGGGGUGUUAUUGUUGGGGGAAAGACAAGAGCAUACAGAGAUGUGAGAACUUGUGGCACUGUGGGGACACUUCAAAUACUACAUGUGGUAAGACACUACCUCUGUUCUAUGGUGUCGUGUGGUGGAGAGUGGACUGUGUGCGUGUGUGUGUGGUACAGGGAGGGAGAGGUGGUGGUGGAGGAACGGGCAGUGCAGAGGAGGCAGGAAAUGAAGCUGUAAGGAGAGCUAGAAUCUGAUCAUGAGGGCCCUGGAUGAUGUUCUACUUAGGAGUUUCACUACUGUCCUAAAGGGUAUGGAGGAUGCACUGAGGGACAUUAACUAGGGCUUUGACAUCUUAGCUUUGCAGUUUGGACAGAUUCCCAGGCAGCCUGUGGAGUGUUAAUUAGCAGUAAGGUUUGAGGCUAUUUACAUUUAAUGAAAUAAACUGGAUCCUGUUAAGCAGGAAAGCUUCUGAUCCUCCCUCAUCUCCAACCCCCACUCCCACAUUCACUUCUAGAGACUUCACUGUUGCCUUGUGGCAGAAUUAUUUGAGUGCCUCCUUAUCACAUAAAAUCUUCAUGUUUGCAAUUGCUGCUUCCUUUAGUGUAGCUAAUUACUUUUGAGUAUGCUUAUCCUUCUUACCUAGAGUCUUUCUUUCUGGUCCUGAUAGGGACCUAGGAUUUACUCUGGUAAAUGAAAGUUGGGUAGUGUAAGUUUUCACUCCAGAUUGUUUGAACUGAUCAGAACAUGCUCAUAGAAGCUAUUUGCCAUGAGUAACACAAGAAGAGAUGAUGGUAAAAAUAUUGAAUAAUACCCUGGAGGCUGAAGUUCCCAAAGGCAGCCACAUGAAAGACACCAGUGGAUGGGCCAGAAGACUCCCAGCAUUUACCAAUUGACAUUCCAGUGCUACCUCCCUAUCCUGGGUCCAGAUGCACUCUGGCUGAGAACUAGGGAGACACACAGGGAAGAGGCCCCACCCCUGUGAUCUAUAGGGGACAAGCUGGCAGGCACCAGUGACCCCAGUGGUACCCACUGAGGACUUCCCAAGGAAAGGAAUAGAAGGAGGCCACUUCAGGGGCUUGGAACAGUGGCUUUUUAGCAACUUAACAUGGGAAUAUUUCAAUAUUUAAUAGUCAUUAGAGCCAUACUAGUGAAAUGUAGCAAAAUAGAGACCUAAAUCUAUGAUUCUGAGAAAAAUAGACAUUAAAAACUUCCCCUUCUGCUGUGCCUUGUGGAAAGACAUUUCUACAAUUUGCCUAAACAUAGUUCCAGAUGGAUUUCUUUGACCUUCACUUGAAGCUUUGCAUGGCACUUUUCUGUGCAAUGUCUUGAUUUUACAAAGGUAGUAAAAUCUCCCACAUUACCACAAGCCUGCUUUGUUUAUCUUUUUUAGUGUGGUUCAAGACUUUGAGGAGACCACAAUUGCUUGGGCAAAGUGUCCUGGAAGUAACGUGAUGAAGAGAUUGGAAGGAGGCAAGACUUGAGGCAGGGAGCUUGAGUCCAAGUUUCAAAUGAGAAUCUUGACAAGGUAGCAGUGUGGAGGAGAGGGCAGAUCCAAGAGCUGUUUUUGAUAUGAUCAUAUGGAGUAAAAGGGAGAUUAAGAUGAGUCAAGUUUCUGACCUGAGUGAAAGAGAAAGUAAUGAUACUGCUCAUAGGGAGUCAUAGUGGUUGGUGGCUAUAAAAGGGGUCUCAUCCCUCUGGUCUCUGAAUACUUAUUAGCAAAAUGAGAUAAUAAUGGUACCUACUUCAUAGGAUUACUUUGUGGACUAAAUAUAAUGCACGUAGAAUGUUAAAUAUGGGACUGGCAUGCAGUAAGUACUCAAUAAAUUUAAGUAAUUUGCUUCAAACUACACAGUUAGGUGACUGAUAGAGUUGGGAUUCUAGCAUAUCUGUUGGAGUAGUGUCUGGUCACUUUACCUGUUACAUAGGAUAGAAACCAUCAAAAGAGGGACGGGUCCGGGAUGUGGCUAUGAUGAUGAGCUUGGUUUUGGAAAAGGAGAUGUAAAAGUGGGGUGGGGACAGGAAGUCCAGGAAGAAGUUGGACACAUGGAUCUGGACUUCAGGAGGGUCUUGGCCAGAGAAGUCCUUGUUCAUAUCUCAGUCUGUGAAAUUAUAGUCAUGAAUAGUGCACCACCUAAUAACCAGGUUUGUGGCUUUGAUAAAUAGCCAGAGCGUGUUUAAUAAAAUUAUGUGAUCAAGAUAAUUGUAAAUUCUUUAAGUGGUUUUAGUCAGGUUUUUACAUUUGACCAUCAGUCUCACUUGCCAAAAUUUUUCAUGAUGCCAUAUAAUCAGUAACUAUAAUAAAAAGCCUAUAUUUCAGAAAUACAAAAGCCAUAUCCUAAUCAGUAUGAUGUUUAAAGACUUCUGUAUUAAAAAACACUCCUUUAAGAAGUUAAUUAAUCUUUG